CUGCCACGCAGCAACUGCCACACAGAAGAAGGAGGGACUGCAACUGCCAUGCAGCAACUGCCACACAGAAAAAGGAGGGGUUGCAACUGCCACGCAGAAAAAGGAGGGGUUGCAACUGCCACGCAGCAACUGCCACGCAGAAAAAGGAGGGGUUGAAAAGGGAGUAGCUUCUGAUAUUCAGAAGCUAUUGGAAGAGAUGCUCAAAGAAGAAAAAAUUACCAUAAUCCAAUAAAGAAGAAGACCUGAGAUCCAGGAAGCAGAUGAUCUGAACUGCAGAGAAAGUUCAGGAAAGUUCCCUCAUUCAUGAUGAUGGGAAAUAACAGUAAAUUCUGUACAGCAGUCUUGGACAACAACCAAUCUAAACUGGCACAGUGCAGAGGCAAUCAACAGAGAACAUAAUAUUGAUAGAAUGCCUGACGCUUUUGAUUGUAUUCACAGGAAACAUAAACAAUUGGAAGACAGUUUAUGAAUGAAUUAGUGAUAAGCAUUUUUUUUCAACUUUUAUUUUAGAUUCAAGGGUACAUGUGCAGGUUUGGUGCCUGGGUAUACUGGGUGAUGCUGAGGUUUGUGUUACAAAUGAUCCCAUCAUCCAGGUACUGAGCAUGGUAUCCAGUAGUUAGUUUUUAACCCUUCUCCUGUCUCUCUCCUGGUGGUCCCCAGUUUCUACUGUUGCCAUCUUUAUGUCCAUGAGUAUACAAUGUUUAGCUCCCACUUGUGAGAACAUGCGUAUUUGCCUAUUUAAUUAUUUGUUUAUUUGUUGAGACAUAGUUUCACUCUCUAGCCCGAUCUUGGCUCACUGCAACCUACGCUUCCUGUGUUCAAGCGAUUCUCUUGCCUCGGCCUCCCCAGUAGCUGAGAUUACAGGCACCUACUACCAUGCCUGACUAAUUUUUGUAUUUUAAUAGAGAUAGGGUUGCACCCUGUUGGCCAGGCUGGUUUCAAAUUCCUGAUCUCAAGCGAUCCACUCACCUUGGCCUCCCAAACGGCUGGGAUUACAGGCUUGAGCCACCACGCCCAGCCACUAUUUGCUUUUCUAUUCCUGCAUUAAUUUGCUUAGGAUAAUAGCCCUCAACUUCAUCCAUUUUGCUGCAAAGAAAAUAAUUUUGUUCUUUUUUAGGGCUGCAUAGUAUUCCAUGGUGUAUAUGUACCACAUUUGUUUUAUUUAAUCCACUGUUGAUGGACACCUG
rnacentral:lncRNA from 1 species